rnacentral:rRNA from 1 species
UAGAGUAAUGCGUGACCAACCUGCCCAUGCUCCAGAAUAGCUCUUGGAAACGGGUGGUAAUGCUGGAUGCUCCAACUUGACGCAUGUCUUGUUGGGAAAGUGUUUAGUGGCAUGGGAUGGGGUCGCGUCCUAUCAGCUUGUAGGCGGGGUAAUGGCCCACCUAGGCUUCGACGGGUAGCCGGCCUGAGAGGGCGGACGGCCACAUUGGGACUGAGAUACGGCCCAGACUCCUACGGGAGGCAGCAGUC